GACGAACGCUGGCGGCGUGCUUAACACAUGCAAGUCGAACGGAAAGGCCCUGCUUUUGUGGGGUGCUCGAGUGGCGAACGGGUGAGUAACACGUGAGUAACCUGCCCUUGACUUUGGGAUAACUUCAGGAAACUUGGUCUAAUACCGGAUAGGAGCUCCUGCUGCAUGGUGGGGGUUGGAAAGUUUCGGCGGUUGGGGAUGGACUCGCGGCUUAUCAGCUUGUUGGUGGGGUAGUGGCUUACCAAGGCUUUGACGGGUAGCCGGCCUGAGAGGGUGACCGGCCACAUUGGGACUGAGAUACGGCCCAGACGCCUACGGGAGGCAGCAGUGGGGAAUAUUGCACAAUGGGCGGAAGCCUGAUGCAGCAACGCCGCGUGCGGGAUGACGGCCUUCGGGUUGUAAACCGCUUUCGCCUGUGACGAAGCGUGAGUGACGGUAAUGGGUAAAGAAGCACCGGCUAACUACGUG
rnacentral:rRNA from 1 species